UGUGGUUUGCUCAAAGAAGAACCAUCCAAUUUGGACAUUCCAUGUGCGAGUUAUGCCACUUUGAAUUCGGGCAUUUUCUGAAAUUGAUCUUACCAUAUCUUGACAACCACACAAUGGAAUUGAGAGUUCUUGGACUUUUUGGAAAGGUGAGAACAAGAUCUUCAACUUUCAUAUUGGACAAAAUUCCAUUUGAAGCUUUCUUGGACACGUAAUAUUUGGGAGAAAAACUUUCCA
rnacentral:lncRNA from 1 species